UUAGAGUUUGAUCCUAGCUCAGGAUGAAUGCUGGCGGCGUGGAUGAGGCAUGCAAGUCGAAUGCUGCACCUUUCAGUCUUUGUUUUACAAGACGGAAAUGAAGUUUGAAAGGUGCAGCAUGGCAGACGAGGUAGGAACACGUAGGUACGUACCCAAGAGUCAGGGAUAACCCGGCGAAAGUCGGAAUAAUACUUGAUGGUCCCAGCUCCAGUUUUAGUUGUCAUUUAUAUUCUUUCGUGAAAAACAUAAAUAAUUUUUGUUUAUUACACUUGUAAAUAAAUGGUUACCAAAACUGGGGCUGGGUAAAGAUUUAUCGCUCUUGGAACGGCCUGCGGUCUAUCAGCUUGUUGGUAAGGUAACGGCUUACCAAGGCUACGACGGAUAGGGGAGGUGAGAGCCUGACCCCCACCGAUGGAACUGCGACACGGUCCAUACUCCUACGGGAGGCUGCAGUCGAGAAUCUUCCGCAAUGGGCGAAAGCCUGACGGAGCGACGCCGCGUGGUGGAUGAAGUGCUUAGGCACGUAAACACCUUUUAUGAGGGAGGAAGUUUAUUGACGUUACCUCAUGAAUAAGGGGCUCCCAACUCUGUGCCAGCAGGAGCGGUAAUACAGAGGCCCCAAGCAUUAUCCGGAUUCACUGGGCGUAAAGGGUGCGUAGGCGGUGUUAUUAGUCGGGUGUUAAAUCCUGGGGCUCAACCCCAGACUUGCAUUCGAAACGGUAAUACUAGAAGAAGUCAGAGGUUUAGAGAACUCUCGGUGUAGGGGUGAAAUCCGUUGAUAUCGAGGGAAUACCAAAUGCGAAGGCACUAAACUGGGACUUUCUUGACGCUGAGGCACGAAAGCGUGGGUAGCGAAUCGGAUUAGAUACCCGAGUAGUCCACGCCCUAAACGUUGUCUGUUGGCUUUAGGAGGAAUCGACCCUUCUGAGGUGAAGCUAACGCGUUAAACAGACCGCCUGGGUAGUACGAGCGCAAGCUUAAAACUCAAAGGAAUAGACGGGGGCUCGCACAAGCGGUGGAGCGCGUGGCUUAAUUCGUCGCUAAGCGAAGAACCUUACCGAGAUUAGAUAUCAUACUGCACGCUCCGGGAAACCGGAGAAUCCUUCGAGGGUGUAUGGCAGGUGAUGCAUGGCCGUCGUCAGUUCGUGGCUUGAGCUGUUCCCUUAAGUGGGGAAACGAACGCAACCCUCGUUGCCUGUUACAAGUGUCAGGCGAGACUGCUCCCUCACGGGAGAGGAAGGUGAGGAUGACGCCAGGUCAGCAUGUCCCUUGAUGCCUCGGGCUGCACUCGUGAUACAAUGGGUAGUACAAAGAGACGCAAUACCGUAAGGUGGAGCAAAUCUUCAAAACUAUCCUCAAUUCGGAUUGAGGUCUGCAACUCGACCUCAUGAAGCCGGAAUCGCUAGUAAUCGUAGGUCAGCUAUACUACGGUGAAUACGUUCCCGAGCCUUGUACUCACCGCCCGUCAAGUCAGGGGAGUCGGAAGUGCCCGAAGUUCGU
rnacentral:rRNA from 1 species